UGAACAACCCUAUAAGGUGGACGAAGAAAAUAGCCUCAUGCUCAUUUUAAAUCUACAGUAACAGAGACUCCAAGACGUUAAGGGGUGAAUUCAUGUGGAUGACUAGCAAAACAAGAGCAAACCAAAAUGAAACAAAAUAAAAAUUAUCAAGUCAUAUCAAGCACACAUGUGGCAGACACAUUUUGUGAUAGAUGACCACUUUUAUAUAAAAACAUACAGCACACAGAGCAAGUGAAACAUGACAUGGAGGUAGAACCCAUAUACAGAUUGAAAUGGAGAAAUUGCCUCCAACCAAAGCAGAAACAGAUGGGAAAGCCUCAGAGGAGCUGUAUCCUAAAG